UCUUUGUGUAGGAAUGGAAGAAUCUUCGGACAGCUACGACUCAUCUACUGAUGUUUCUGAUUCACCUCCUGCUUCUGAAACUGAAGAAGGUACCGCAGAAGAAACUAAGUCACAAGAACAACCACUGAAGAAAAAAAGGGCCUGCAAGCCUAGUAAAUCGAACAAGUUGACCAAUGAUACCUUCAAAAUCACUAGAAUUGAUGACAGACGAGUUCCUGUCAGUCCUUACAAGAAAGCCAAGGGUUUCAGUAAUGCCAUAGGCUGCAUCGUUCGUGAAGGUGUGAAGAUCACAUGCACGGACCUAAGGGCCGAGGAAGGAGAACCUGAGAGAAGUGCUCUUCAACAGGCUCUUCAACCGGUAUAUCAUUGAAAAUGCUGAAAUGAAAAGAAAGGUGCGAGAUAAAGCACUGGGCAUGAUGACCAAAGCCUUGAAUACAUGGUGAAACACGGCGAACAAGAAGAAGGACGAAGAUUUUAAUGAAGUGAUCAAGAAGAAAUGGCCACAAAUAGAAGAGGAGGAUUGGGAACAGUUCCUUGCAAGUCACUCGGGUGAUGAUUUCAAGAACAAGAGCUCUAAGGAGAAGGAAAUGCGUGGCAAUAACAAACUAAACCACAAACUCGGCAGCCGAGGUUAUCUAGGUAAGAAGCCAAAAUGGGACAAGGAGGACGCAGCUGCAAUAGCAGCUGGGAAAAAACCCCCUUUCUCCUACAUCGAGGCAGGCCGAGGAAGGGAUUUUGUGAGGGCCCGUGCAUCUUAUGACCCGGUGACGGGGGAACCGGUCUUCAAAUCCCUUAAACUCAUGGAAGUGCACGAUAAGCUCAUGAAAGAGUCUCAAACUCAGAGCUCCAUAGACUCAGCUGACUGUGAGAGGUGGGAGGAUCCUCUCGCAAAGGCUCUUGGCCGGGUGGAGCAUCGAGGCCAUGUGAGAGGAGUGGGGAAGGGGGCUUCUUGGAAGGUAUAUUUUCCUGAAGAUAAAGAGGUUCGCCGCGAGAGGAGGAGAGCCAGAUCCACUGCCCGCAUGCAUGUUGAAUUUGACCAGCGGGUGGUGGUGGUUGCCGAGGUGGUUGCUGCGGAGACGGUGAGGCGUAUAUUGGCGGAACAAGGACGUCCACCCAUGCAUCCAAAUACCAAUCUAUCGAUCCCUUGUGACACGCAUACACAGUCCAAUAAAAAUAUGUUGAUCCCUAGUGAUGCGCAUACAUAGUCGCCCAAUAUUGGUGGACGGAACAGUAGCAGUUCGUUUGUCUCUCGCAUCCCAAUGAGGUCGCUGAAUCCAAUAGAAGACAUCAUUGACCUUACUCCAUGCCAUCUCUUGGCACCCAUGAUGGACGGGAAGAUGGUGACAGUUGCGCACGGGCUAGUGCAUCCAGUGACCAAGGAGAACAAGCUGCACUGUGUGGGUUUACCACCGGACAUGGCAAAGGUUGAAGUGAAUAAGCUGCUCGACCCCUUCGUCGAUUUUAAUAUUGAAGACCGCCAACCUGAGCCAGGUUGCAACAAACUAGGACAAUGCAAGGGGUAUGUCAUGAAGUGGCCGAAAGAUGCGAUAAAGCUGGUGGGGAAACCCACUCGGAGUACUCCGCAGUACUCGAGCAAGUCAACCACCCCAGCAAAUGAAGUGGGUAUUUGCGCACCUCUAGCAUACGACGACCUGGAUGCCGAUCAAGGUGAGGAGGAUGACAUGAACCAAGACCAGGGGGUUGGGUCCAAUUCGUAUGUGGCCCACAAGCAUGGUGCCACAAAAAAAAGAACUUUAUUGAUGAGGCGACAUCUCCAGAACCGCAACAUGUAAGAAGUAAGAAGAAGAAAGACAAGGCGGGAAAACAAGAGCAAAGGUUCAAAAAAUCAUUGUCCUACGGAUCAACGAACGCAAAAGGAGAGCGAGAAAGUGGUAAAUGGCAGAAACAUCAUAUCUGCGGCGAGCCGUUGGUACCAGUGGAUGAGUUUGAGAGCCUUUCUGCCCACAUGAAGGCUCUGCAUCAGAAUAUUAAAGAGUUGGAAGGUCUUGCAGGCAAUGCCUCACAUUACACAGCCCGGGUUCCAAAGGAUUACCAGCACUUCGUGACCAAAUAUCCGGCAGACAAGUUCUAUCUAGAGUUUCCGGAGAUCUUUAGAAUGUUCAACCUAGAUUUGCUCGAGUCUUCCCUUGUCAGGCUAUGGGCGAUGUACCUAGUCAGAGAGACUAGAGAAAAUAAAGACCUUGCCAAUGUGGGAAUUGCUGAUCCUUAUCACAUGCACGACAACAACCUAAGCUCCGAUGGAGGUAAAGAGCUUAUUCUGAGGGAGUGCAUCUUUCCUGCAUUGCAAAAGAACAAGGACAAGAAGUAUAUACUAGUGCCCUACAAUCCAACGAGUUACUGGGUUCUGAUUAUUCUCAUGGUGAGCGAAUGCAAGGCUUUUUACUUGGAUUCACUUAAAAACAAUGCACCGAAAAGGGAUUGCGAAGUGUUGUCAAAAAUUCUGAAUGAUGCUCUCUUUGAACAUAGUUUUAAAGGUGGAAUUGUAAAAAAAAAAGAAUAAAGGUCCUGCACGCUUUAAGCAUUACACAGAGGUUAGUUGCACAGCAGCAAGAUAGCGUG